AUCCUCGAUCUGCUGCGGACAGAUGAAAUGGAUAUGCGCAUCCAUCCCUCCCGCCGUCAGGAUCUUGCCCUCGCCCGCCAAAAUCUCCGUCCCCGGCCCGAUGAUCAGCGUGACGCCCGGCUGGGUAUCGGGGUUGCCGGCCUUGCCGAUCCCCGCGAUCCGCCCGUCGCGCAGACCCACAUCCGCCUUGUAGAUCCCGGUAUGGUCGACGAUCAGCGCAUUGGUGAUCACCGUAUCCAUCGCGCCGCCCGCGCGGCUCACCUGGCUCUGGCCCAUCCCGUCGCGGAU
rnacentral:sRNA from 1 species